CCAGUCUGGUGCCAGCAGCUGCGGUAAUUCCAGCUCUGCGAGUUUGCUCCCAUAUUGUUGCAGUUAAAACGCCCGUAGUCUGAAUUGGCCAGCAAUGGUCGUACGUAUUUUUACGUUCACUGUGAACAAAUCAGGACGCUUAGAGUAUGGCCACAUGAAUGACUCAGCGCAGUAUGAAGUCUUUGUUUUCUUCCGAAAACAAGCUCAAUGAGAGCCAUCGGGGGUAGAUCUAUCUCAUGACGAGUGGUGGAAUACUUUGACUCAUGAGAGAGAAGCUGAGGCGAAGGCGUCUACCUAGAGGGUUUCUGUCGAUCAAGGGCGAGAGUAGGAGUAUCCAACAGGAUUAGAGACCCUGGUAGUUCCUACCUUAAACGAUGCCGACAGGAGUUUGUCAUUUGUUAAUGGCAGAAUCUUUGGAGAAAUCAUAGUUCUUGGGCUCUGGGGGAACUACGACCGCAAGGCUGAAACUUGAAGGAAUUGACGGAAGGGCACACCAGGGGUGGAGCCUGUGGCUUAAUUUGAAUCAACACGGGGAAACUUACCAGGACCAGAUGUUUUUUAUGACUGACAGGCUUCGGGUCUUUCAGGAUAUUGUUUUUGGUGGUGCAUGGCCGUUGGUGGUGCGUGGGUUGACCUGUCUAGCGUUGAUUCAGCUAACGAGCGAGAUUAUCGCCAAUUAUUUACUUUGCCGAAGUCCUUCGGUUAAAGUUCUAAUUGGGACUCCCUGCGAUUUUAGCAGGUGGAAGAGGGUAGCAAUAACAGGUCCGUGAUGCCCUUUAGAUGCUCUGGGCUGCACGCGUGCUACAAUGUUAGGAUCAAUAGGACUGCGAGCCUGAGAGGGUGCGCUACUCUUAUAAUCCCUAACGUAGUUGGGAUUGACGUUUGUAAUCAGCGUCAUGAACCAGGAAUCCCUUGUAAAUGUGUGUCAACAACGCACGUUGAAUACGUCCCUGCCCUUUGUACACACCGCCCGUCGCUCCUACCGAUUGGAUGACUCGGUGAAAUCACGGGAUGCUUACGAGCAGAAAGUGAUUAAAUCACGUUAUCUAG
rnacentral:ncRNA from 1 species